AUUCUUUGUUCAUAUUAGAUCAUUCUCAUAUUCAUAUGCAUCUUAAUUAGUUAAAUAAUUGAUCUUCUUCUCCAUUGAUCACCCUCCCCCUUCCCCAUUUCUAAUUAAUUCAUUCCUCAUCAACAACUAAACAUGAACCAUCAAGAUUUCUCAGAUCUUUGGAGUCGUUUUCUUGUCUCUGACUCUCAUGAAGACAACGACCCAUCAACAUAAAUCAAACUUUUUCAUUCCACAAUUUCUGUCGAGUCGCUUUUCAUUGCUUAUAUAGGUAUAUGCAAAACAUGUCUCUUUCUAUAUGUAUUUAGUAUCUAUAUGUACGGUUUCUAUUCAUUUUUCAGCUGGUCUUCCGUUUUCUCCAUCACCUUUCUUCUCCUCUCUAGCUCUGUGUAUGACCUAAAUAAAGCACCCCUAUCAACGGACGGACGGACGGACGGACGGAGGUAAUUUAGGGUUUGCAGAUUUUGUUCCAGAUGGCACCCACUUUCUUCUACCCCCGGUAAUUCAUUUAGAGAUGGUGGAUACACAUUUAUAUAUGAUGGGAAUCAGGUGGUCUGGGCUAUAAGUGGUUGGGUUUGGGUUUGGAAUUGGAGGAUCGGGUGUGAGGGAGCUCACUUCAGUCCACUCAUGGGUGUGAAGAAGGGGGUUUGGAAUUAUCUGCCGACUCAUUCAAUCAACCACUUAGUAGCAACAUGAAAUCAAUAGUUGGCUACAGUGAUUGUGUGAAUGAUGCGGGAGAUAGUUUUCAUUCCUCAACCUCCUUGCUUGGACUGAAGGGAGCUCCUUCUCUCGAAUUCCUUAUUUCCUUACAAAGAAGACUCGAACAGAUCCAUUCUUUUAUAAAUAGUCCGGGUGUAAAGACUCAAACUCAUGAUCUUGAAGACAUGAGUUUAUGUCGGCCUAACUCUUACAACUGCAGAAUGUUGUCAUUAAAUUUGGAAUGGUUUAAUUAUUAAUGUGUUCCCAUGCAAACAUUUGAUGUUACAAAACCAAGAGCAUGUCCGUACUAGGGCUUUAGGGCAAGAUAUUUUUAUGUUAGGAUGAUGGCUAGGUGCAUGUAUGGCAGGGGACUCAAUGCAUUUGGAGAUAGAUAAUUGGGGUUUUAUCAUGAGAUCUUUGCCAAUUAAGGGUUUGUGGACAGUUGAAUUGGGUGGGGACCUCUUAUCAGCUUUGUGGUCCCUUUCCCCCUUUUGUUCUAUGGAUUUUGCUUAUUGCCAAUUUUUAACUAUUUCUUUUCGAGCUUGUAAUGAUGCAUGAUGAUUUUGUUGUGUUUUUAUAUAUACCUUAUGAGGUGGUUUU